GACAGAGGUGGCAAGCGUUGUUCGGAAUCACUGGGCUUAAAGGGUGUGUAGGCGGUUAGGUAAGCAUCGUGUGAAAGCCCCAGGCUCAACCUGGGAAUUGCACGAUGUACUGCCAAACUUGAGGCGCGUAGAGGUUACCGGAACUCUGGGUGGAGCGGUGAAAUGCGUAGAUAUCCAGGGGAACGCCAAUGGCGAAGGCAGGUAACUGGGCGCGUCCUGACGCUGAGGCACGAAAGCGUGGGGAGCGAACGGG
rnacentral:rRNA from 1 species